rnacentral:RNase_P_RNA from 2 species
AGAGUUGGCCAGACAGUCGCUAUGUGAAAAACAUAGAGGAAAGUCCGGGCUCCGCAGGGCAAAGUGCCAGAUAACGCCUGGGAAGUGUGAGCUUACGGAAAGUGCAACAGAAAGCAAACCGCCGAAGUCACAAUCUUGAUCUUUUAGAUUAAGAUAUUAGCCGAGAGAUUGGACUUUUUGAGUUCAAAACCGAAGACUAAAACUACUCAACGUAGUUGAAUUUUAGGCAAGGCAUCGAGGCGAGGAGUAGUCGGAGUGUACAUAAAAGUACAUGACGAUUGCGAAUCGCCAAAGAUAACGAAGCAUAAAGUUCAAAUACGAAGAGUAGGACUGGUAAGGGUGAAAGGGUGCGGUAAGAGCGCACCGCGUAGGUGGCAACAUUCUACGGCACGGUAAACCCCACUUGGAGCAAGACCAAAUAGGAACCUAAUAAUGCUGCCCGCAUUGGGUUCGGGUAGGUCGCAUGAGUCAUAUGGCGACAUAUGGCCUAGAUUAAUGAUUGUCCAUGACAGAACCCGGCUUAUCGGCCAACUCUAUCU